GACGAACGCUAGCGGCGUGCCUAACACAUGCAAGUCGAACGGGGAAUAGCAAUAUUCCUAGUGGCGAACGGGUGAGUAACGCGUAGACAACCUGCCUUCUAGACGGGGACAACGUUCCGAAAGGAGCGCUAAUACCGGAUGAGGUCUUUUGGGUGCAUACUUGAAAGAAGAAAGGUGGCCUCUAUAUAAAAGCUACCGCUAGAAGAUGGGUCUGCGUCUGAUUAGCUAGUUGGUGAGGUAAUGGCCCACCAAGGCGACGAUCAGUAGCCGGUCUGAGAGGAUGAACGGCCACACUGGGACUGAGACACGGCCCAGACUCCUACGGGAGGCAGCAGUGGGGAAUCUUCCGCAAUGGACGAAAGUCUGACGGAGCAACGCCGCGUGAGUGUAGAAGGCCUUCGGGUCGUAAAGCUCUGUCGUUUGGGACGAACGUGCUGUGUGUAAAUAAUGCAUAGUAAUGACGGUACCAA
rnacentral:rRNA from 1 species